rnacentral:rRNA from 1 species
AGAGUUUGAUCAUGGCUCAGGAUGAACGCUGGCGGCGUGCUUAACACAUGCAAGUCGAACGGAGACAUAUUUUGAAGUUUUCGGAUGGAAAGAUAUGUUCUUUAGUGGCGGACGGGUGAGUAAUGUAUGAGCAACCUACCUUUAAGAGGGGGACAACAGUUGGAAACGACUGCUAAUACCGCAUAAUGCGAAUUUGCCGCAUGGGACAGAUUUGUCGAAAGGAGCAAUCCGCUUAAAGAUGGGCU